rnacentral:rRNA from 1 species
UUAGGAAUUUUCCACAAUGGGCGAAAGCCUGAUGGAGCAACGCCGCGUGCAGGAGGAAGGCCUUCGGGUUGUAAACUGCUUUUAUAUGUGAAGAUUAUGACGGUAGCAUAUGAAUAAGGAUCGGCUAACUCCGUGCCAGCAGCCGCGGUCAUACGGAGGAUCCAAGCGUUAUCCGGAAUUACUGGGCGUAAAGAGUUGCGUAGGUGGUUAGUUAAGCAGGCUAUGAAAUCGUGUGGCUCAACCAUACACACAUAGUUUGAACUGGCUGACUAGAGAGCGAGAGAGGUAGCUGGAAUUCCUAGUGUAGGAGUAAAAUCCGUAGAUAUUAGGAGGAACACCGAUGGCGUAGGCAGGCUACUGGCUCGUUUCUGACACUAAGGCACGAAAGCGUGGGGAGCAAACGGG